rnacentral:rRNA from 1 species
GACGAACGCUGGCGGCGUGCUUAACACAUGCAAGUCGAACGGAAAGGCCCUGCUUUUGUGGGGUGCUCGAGUGGCGAACGGGUGAGUAACACGUGAGUAACCUGCCCUUGACUUUGGGAUAACUUCAGGAAACUGGGGCUAAUACCGGAUAGGAGCUCCUGCUGCAUGGUGGGGGUUGGAAAGUUUCGGCGGUUGGGGAUGGACUCGCGGCUUAUCAGCUUGUUGGUGGGGUAGUGGCUUACCAAGGCUUUGACGGGUAGCCGGCCUGAGAGGGUGACCGGCCACAUUGGGACUGAGAUACGGCCCAGACUCCUACGGGAGGCAGCAGUGGGGAAUAUUGCACAAUGGGCGGAAGCCUGAUGCAGCAACGCCGCGUGCGGGAUGACGGCCUUCGGGUUGUAAACCGCUUUCGCCUGUGACGAAGCGUGAGUGACGGUAAUGGGUAAAGAAGCACCGGCUAACUACGUGCCAGCAGCCGCGGUGAUACGUAGGGUGCGAGCGUUGUCCGGAUUUAUUGGGCGUAAAGGGCUCGUAGGUGGUUGAUCGCGUCGGAAGUGUAAUCUUGGGGCUUAACCCUGAGCGUGCUUUCGAUACGGGUUGACUUGAGGAGGGUAGGGGAGAAUGGAAUUCCUGGUGGAGCGGUGGAAUGCGCAGAUAUCAGGAGGAACACCAGUGGCGAAGGCGGUUCUCUGGGCCUUUCCUGACGCUGAGGAGCGAAAGCGUGGGGAGCGAACAGGCUUAGAUACUCUGGUAGUCCACGCUGUAAACGGUGGGUACUAGGUGUGGGGUCCAUUCCACGGGUUCCGUGCCGUAGCUAACGCUUUAAGUACCCCGCCUGGGGAGUACGGCCGCAAGGCUAAAACUCAAAGGAAUUGACGGGGCCCCGCACAAGCGGCGGAGCAUGCGGAUUAAUUCGAUGCAACGCGUAGAACCUUACCUGGGUUUGACAUGGAUCGGGAGUGCUCAGAGAUGGGUGUGCCUCUUUUGGGGUCGGUUCACAGGUGGUGCAUGGCUGUCGUCAGCUCGUGUCGUGAGAUGUUGGGUUAAGUCCCGCAACGAGCGCAACCCUUGUUCACUGUUGCCAGCACGUUAUGGUGGGGACUCAGUGGAGACCGCCGGGGUCAACUCGGAGGAAGGUGGGGAUGACGUCAAGUCAUCAUGCCCCUUAUGUCCAGGGCUUCACGCAUGCUACAAUGGCUGGUACAGAGAGUGGCGAGCCUGUGAGGGUGAGCGAAUCUCGGAAAGCCGGUCUCAGUUCGGAUUGGGGUCUGCAACUCGACCUCAUGAAGUCGGAGUCGCUAGUAAUCGCAGAUCAGCAACGCUGCGGUGAAUACGUUCCCGGG